GACCCUCCACAGCAAUGGACAGGCCCCCAGCGCCGGCCUCCCGGGUCCAGAUGCUGAACUCGGCUGGGGACAGGCAAGACUGCAGGCUCCACCCAGAAUGGGCACCGAUGUGUGUAGUGACCACUAACAAAAAUGGCUCAGUGGGAGGAGAGGAGGGCACCACGGGACAGGCAGUCUGGAAAAUUCCCUAAGGUGAUCUCUGCCUUGGAUGGGCCCUCCACGGCCAGUGACAGACCCCCUGUAGGUGGAAGUGUGGCCAAGAUCAGAGGCACCACUGGCUCCUCUGUGGCCUGCGGCAGGUGAGAGGGAACAGUCAGUGACUGGGGAAGGCCCAGCAGUUUGGCCCAUGCCAUGACUGAAGCUGGAGAGUGAGGAAAGAACAAGGUAGUUAAUGGUGAAACCAGCGUGGCAGGAGAGGUGCGUCAGCUGCAAGAGAAGGAGUGCUGUGCCCAAGUGGGGUUCCAUCUGCCCAGCCUGACUCCUGCCUGCUCCCCAGGAGGCCCCCAGACCAUGUCCCUGCCCUGGCUGCAGAGGAGUAGAGAGAAGAAAUGAAGGAAGGAGAGGAGGAGAAGGAGGACAUCGCCUGGUGGGAGGCGCAGU